AGCUCGUGUCGUGAGAUGUUGGGUUAAGUCCCGCAACGAGCGCAACCCUUGCCAUUAGUUGCUACGAAAGGGCACUCUAAUGGGACUGCCGGUGACAAACCGGAGGAAGGUGGGGAUGACGUCAGGUCAUCAUGGCCCUUAUGGGUAGGGCUACACACGUCAUACAAUGGCCGGUACAGAGGGCUGCCAACCCGCGAGGGGGAGCCAAUCCCAGAAAACCGGUCGUAGUCCGGAUCGUAGUCUGCAACUCGACUGCGUGAAGUCGGAAUCGCUAGUAAUCGCGGAUCAG
rnacentral:rRNA from 1 species